rnacentral:rRNA from 1 species
AAAAACAUGUCUUUUUGAGAAUAAUUUAAAGUCUAAUCUGCCCACUGAUAAAUUUAUUAAAGGGCCGCAGUAAUUUGACUGUGCAAAGGUAGCAUAAUCACUUGUCUUUUAAUUGAAGGCUGGAAUGAAUGAUUGAAUGAAGUAUUAACUGUCUCAUUUUUAAAAAAUUAAAAAUUUAAUUUUUAAGUUAAAAGGCUUAAAUAAAUUUAAAAGACGAGAAGACCCUAUAGAUCUUUAUAAUAAUAAUUUUAUAAUAAAAUAGAUUAAAAUAUUUUAUAAAAUAUAUUAAUUAUUUAAUUGGGGUGAUUAAAAAAUUUAUUUAACUUUUUUUAGAAGAAAACAUUAAUUAAUGAAUAAUUGAUCCAAUAAUAUUGAUUAAAAGAUUAAGUUACCUUAGGGAUAACAGCGUAAUUUUUUUAGAGAGUUCUUAUCGAUAAAAAAGAUUGCGACCUCGAUGUUGAAUUAAAGGUUAUUUUUAGAUGUAGAAGUUUAAAGUUUAGGUCUGUUCGACCUUUGAAUCUUUACAUGAUCUGA